CAAGCUUCAUCUCUACCACAGAGUCCCUUUCUCCAUGUGCAUUUGGAAGUUGAACUCCCUUUAGACCAUCCAUUCACAGCCUUCCUCACUUAGUGGACAUCUUCAUGGGUUGAAUGAAGGGCAUGUUAGGAGUAGCAUUUGAUGUGCAACACUGACAGGAACUGCUGCAGUCCCCUUCAACACCAUAGCCAUAGGGCUUACACAGACGUUUGUGUGAAGAGGGAUAUAAGGUUUAUCAAGAGUCAUCAGAAGAGACAACAGGAAGAC
rnacentral:lncRNA from 1 species